ensembl:lncRNA
GGACCCAAUCGCACGUGCUGGGAGGGGCGGCGGCCAAGUGGUCCGGGAGCCGCGCGUUGGGGCGUAGGGGACCGUGGCUUGGAGCCCGGGAGGGCUGCGAGCCUACUCAAGCUGCUUUUCUUCUUCCAUCACCUUCUCCUUUCGCUGUGCACGGGCCACGCAGUGGAACUGCAGCGGUGAAAACGACUGAAUUUGGGGCCCUGUAACCUCCUGGCAACCCUGAGGAGCGGCAGCGGAAACACAAGUAAGAAUGGAGGGUGCUCUUCUCCCCAGAAGCUAACAAAGGGUCAGUCUUUCUCUGUGAAAUGGCUGUAGAAUAUAAACGGAGGCUCCUGGCAUUUCCCUACUGGCUCAGUUCAAGAACCACCCACUCCGAGUUGUCUUCCUGGAUUUUCUCAGCCCAAAGUAAUCCUUCUUUUUCUGAGGUACAAAAGAGGUUCAACAGUGAGUAUUGUAGAUGCUGAGCUUCAUCUGUGAACAAAACCUACCAAGUCUCUGACCACAUGGAAUUCAUGAGGUGGACGCAGGGCCACACAGGAACAACUCACAGCAAACUACAGGGACACUCAUGACAUGUCUGUGCCCAGGGAAGUCCACCAAGUCUCCAGGUCUGAGGCAUUUAUGAGACAAAACUCAAGUCUCAAAUGAAAGGAUCCCUGAAGACUUCCUUAUGGAUUUUGUCUCUGGGAACACGGCUCAGCAGCAUGGACACAGAAACAGCAGUGGUGGCUGAUUGCAUUGAUCCAGAUUUGGAAGUUGUGUGGCAGUUAAAGCAGAAGGAUAAGGAUCAAACCUACAGCCCCUGCAGUGGAAGCGAAGUCUUAACCUCUGGAUCACCAGGGAAGUCCCUGUGCUGAGUCAAGAAGAACCUCACCCAUUAACACAAAAAAUGUGCAACUAACUGAGGAUUCUGGAUGCUUAGAUGCUAAAGGAAUAAUGCCUGGAGUGUGGGUUUGGUCAGGGCAGGCUGCCCGAAGAAGGUCUCCAGGCAGAUGGUGAAGAGUUGGUAGAUUUCUGAUGGCAGGGGCUUCCCAAGUUGAGGAAAAGGCGUUGGGCAUGAGUCAGAGACCAUAGAGCGUGUAAUAAACUAGAGACUGCUCUCUACCAAGAUCUCCAGAGCCUCACAUCGGUCAGUGCCCCCAAAGAGGCAGAGUCCGGCUUCAGGCCUCUAGCCUUCUCUCUUUUGGGGAAGAAAAUACCUCUACUCUGAAGGCAGCCAGCACAUAUUUUACUCACAACAGUCAGCAGAUGGCUGUGGAUCCCAGGAAUCACAUCAGGACAAAGCUCGCUGUGCAUUUUCCAUCACUGGUAGCUAUCCCAACAGUGACGUGGGGCAUCGUUAUUAAUAGGUGAAGGACAAAGAGAGAGGGGAAGUGGCUUGGGUUGAGUCACACAGCAAAGUUAGAACUCCCAACUCCCAGCAACUGGCCUCACCCUGGGCUCUAUCCCGCACACCUGGCAGCUCCAGAGACUUUCUCCUUUUCGUACUCUGGGCCAUGAACUCUCUGGUUAACCAAGAGGGUCCAACUUGUCUUGCAGAGAAAUGAAGCAAAAUCUUCCUUGGGACGGUAUAUUGUGGUCUUCCUGUUUCUAUUGAUUGGCAGGAAACUGAGUGCCCCCUACUUACUGAAUGACCUUGAACACAUCAUUGAAAGUCCCUGGACCCUCAGGUUUCCCUUCAGUAAAGUGUAGAAAAGAGUUAUUGGUGCCUACCCCAGAGAAGCUGUGGAUGAGCUAGGGAGAGGAUCGGUGUACCCUUAUCCAAUUUAUUCUGCAUUAUCCUUUACGCGGGUGAACUUCCCGGCUGAGCAUAAUCACAUGGGUGGGCUUUAAAAAUACAAAUUCCUGGGCGUUGACCAACCUGGCUUACUUGGAUGUCUUCUCUGUUCUCCUGGCCAAGUGGCCCCCAGUAUGAAGGGAACCCCCUCGAGUUGAGCAGUGGGGUGGUCUUUAACCUUUCUGUUUAAAUCCUCUCGACUCAGCUUAAACGAACCUUUGCUAGGACAUGGGAGACAUUGCGUUCUGUUUCAAGCUCCCCCUUGGACUCCCUGUUCUCCCAAUUUUGGCACUUCUCACAUACUGCUUGUUAUUUUUACUUAACUGUUUCAAAUCUUUGCCUCUUAUUUCCUCAAUUAGCUAUCAGAGGAUAAAAACAGUGUCCUGCCCUUCUCUUUUGACCCCCCAAAAUGCCAGCUCCAUUAGCACUUAGUACCUCUUCAAUAAAUAUUUGUUGAAUGGCAGAUCUUGUAAUUCGGAAAUCUGAAAUCAUUUCUUAUUUAUUUGGGAGGGGUUCUGUGUCCUUUGGAAGCUUUCUGGUCACAUGGAAAGAACUUUAAACAAAGAGGCAAGAGCCCUAGCUUCCAAUCUUGGCACUGUCACAAACUCCCAUUGUGACCUGCAACAAGUCGCCUGCCUUCUCUAGCCCUCGGUCCCUCACUUGAGAAACCAGGACUGAUAUAUAAGUUUCUUUCAGCUCUGGAUUUUUUUCACUACUGUGGUUAGCCA